rnacentral:rRNA from 1 species
GAAGUAGCUGAUUUCACACUGUCAAGAAAAGUCUCUAUCGAGGUUAAAGGUACCCGUACCGCAAACCGACACAGGUGGGUGAGGAGAGUAUCCUAAGGCCAGCGAGAGAACUGUUGUUAAGGAACUCGGCAAAAUGACCCCGUAACUUAGGGAUAAGGGGUGCCACCAUCAGGUGGCCGCAGAGAAUAGGCCCAAGCGACUGUUUACCAAAAACAUAGGUUUCUGCUAAGUCGCAAGACGAUGUAUAGGAGCUGACGCCUGCCCGGUGCUGGAAGGUUAAGGGGAUCUGUUAGAGCAAUCGAAGCAGUGAACUUAAGCCCCAGUAAACGGCGGCCGUAACUAUAACGGUCCUAAGGUAGCGAAAUUCCUUGUCGGGUAAGUUCCGACCCGCACGAAAGGCGUAACGAUUUGGGCACUGUCUCAACAACAGACUCGGUGAAAUUGUAAUUCCGGUGAAGAUGCCGGAUACCUGCGACAGGACGGAAAGACCCCAUGGAGCUUUACUGUAGCUUGACAUUGGGUCUUGGUACUACAUGUACAGGAUAGGUGGGAGGCUUUGAAACCAGGACGCCAGUUUUGGCGGAGCCAUCCUUGGGAUACCACCCUUGUAGUACUGGGACUCUAACCAUAGGCCAUGAAUCUGGUCUUGGGACACUGUCAGGUGGGCAGUUUGACUGGGGCGGUCGCCUCCCAAAAGGUAACGGAGGCGCUCAAAGGUUCUCUCAGUACGGUCGGAAAUCGUACGUAGAGUGUAAAGGCAAAAGAGAGCUUGAUUGCAAGACAUACAGGUCGAGCAAGGAUGAAAAUCGGACUUAGUGAUCCGGUGGUUCUGCGUGGAAGGGCCAUCGCUCAACGGAUAAAAGCUACCCUGGGGAUAACAGGCUUAUCUCCCCCAAGAGUCCACAUCGACGGGGAGGUUUGGCACCUCGAUGUCGGCUCAUCACAUCCUGGGGCUGUAGUAGGUCCCAAGGGUUGGGCUGUUCGCCCAUUAAAGUGGUACGCGAGCUGGGUUCAGAACGUCGUG